UAAAGAUCUCAUCUCCACAAUCAUAAUUGCAAAACUUAAAUCAAGAGGACUUUUAUUGGACGUAAUGAGGUUUAGGGAGAGGGUUAUUGAAAUGAAAGAAUAGGAAAACACAAGUUACAAGCUACAUUGCAAGCGCAAUUCUUUUGUUUUAGAUUUAUAAGAACUCAAGCUCUCCAACGAUUCUUCUGAUACCUCCAAUCACACCCUUAAACUGAAACUUGAAAAACUUUUUAUUUUCUUUGUAUACAAUCUUUUUCUUUUUUUUUUUCUUUUUUUUUUCUUUUCUUUUUAAAUACAAACAUGAAAUACCCCCACAGUUAUUCUUUUGCCAAACACCUUCAAAGUACUUCACAAACAUUUCUCAUAAGACAAUCUCACAUUGCUCACUAGCUUGCUUGGAAAGGGUAAGGAAAAAAAUGUUUCAGGUAUAAGGGUAGACAUAUCUGGUGAUAAGAAAUAAAAGGUUCAACAAACACGGCUCAAAUUGGCAAUCUAAUGAUAUCAUUUUUAUUUGGGGAACAUGGUUAUUUGGGCCAUGGUGGUAAACCUAAUGCCUCUAUCAUUUCCAAGUUCAUGUAAUCAAUGACAAACAUUUUGAAAGAUCGUUACGCAAGUUCUAGAGAUGUAUCUCACAUAAGUUCAUCACACAUGAAAGAAUAGGAGUGUAUGAAAAAUGCACACACUUUCAAUCGGCUCAAAAACUCACAUAGGAUGUAUAUGGUCACUAAAUUCACAUAUGAAGCUUUAAGUCAUGCUUUAGUUUCACAUUAACAAGGCUAUGUGCAUUUGGUUUUUCAAAGAUGGUCAAACAUGUACAAAACUAACAAGAGAAUUAGGAAUUUCACCAAACACAUGUUAACUAAGUUCUUGAUGAUCAUGAUUCGAAUUUGAUCCAAUUAUAUCAUUGGGUCGGGA
rnacentral:lncRNA from 1 species